rnacentral:rRNA from 1 species
AGGAUGAACGCUGGCGGCGUGCCUAACACAUGCAAGUCGAACGUCCUGUCUCGCAAGAGGCAGGGAGUGGCGGACGGGUGAGUACCACGUGGGUCAUCUACCGUGAGGUGAGGAAUACCGGCGAGAAAUCGCCGACAAGACCGCAUAGCCUCGGUGCAAGUCGAGCAAAGCUCUUUCGAGAGAGGGAGCGCCACACGAGGAGCCUGCGCCCGAUUAGCUAGCUGGUGGAGUAACGGUUCACCAGGGCGACGAUCGGUAGCUGGUCUGAGAGGACGAUCAGCCACACUGGGAUUGAGAACGGCCCAGACUCCUACGGGGGGCAGCAGUGAGGAAUUUUCGUCAAUGGGGGCAACCCUGAACGAGCAACGCCGCGUGCAGGAAGAAGGUUUUCGGAUCGUAAACUGCUUUUCUCGGGAAGAGAAUGGACGGUACCCGAGGAAUCAGCCCCGGCUAACUACGCGCCAGCAGCCGCGGU